rnacentral:lncRNA from 1 species
GUAAAGUGAAAGUGAAUUACAUUUGUUUUAGAAAUGGAUCUCCACCAUCUCCACCUCGUGUUCUGUGUAUUCGGAGCGCAGGAUGGGGAGGAAAGAGGAAGACAGGCGAACAGUACUGUGAGAGGCUCCGUCUGUAUGACAAGGUUUGGGUUUAAAUGGGCGCUUGGUUGUUCUUUGUUUUGGACCAAAUACAGAAAUAUGUAGAAGAGGAGCUGUGCUGUGUCUCGUUCUCACUAGUGUGAAGGGUUUUCAGGAGAGAGCACAGCAGCAGCAGCACGUCUGAAGCAGUAAGAAGAGUGCACGUCUGGUCAAGAGCACGCAUGAUCUGGACCAGGCAUGUGGCAUAAUUUGUAUUCAACCAAGAAUUUUUUUUUCUCCUUUAGUUUGUGGACAACAUUUCAUCUCGAGAAGAUAUAGACUCUGCCGAGUACUAUCUUUACAAGAUACAGUGACCGGGGUCCCACUUGCCACAGCAGCCUUCCUCGUGCAGUGAUUUCUCGGAUGUCUUACCUCAGUAUGCUCCCAGUGAUAUGCCGGGCUCUCAUCGAUUCUCACAGACGUGAUAGUUAAGAAGUCCCUUUGUCAGGCAUGGACUUG